ACGACCUUACUUGAACAGGAUCUGUUCUAUAGGCUCGUACCGCUGCAUCCUUUACCAAUAAAGUUAAAACACAUAAAAAUAUAUAGUUA
rnacentral:snoRNA from 1 species